GGGCGGAUGUAGCCAAGUGGAUCAAGGCAGUGGGUUGUGAAUCCACCAUGCGCGGGUUCAAUUCCCGUCGUUCGCCCA
rnacentral:tRNA from 1 species